rnacentral:rRNA from 1 species
GAUGAACGCUGGCGGCGUGCCUAAUACAUGCAAGUCGAGCGAACGGACGAGAAGCUUGCUUCUCUGAUGUUAGCGGCGGACGGGUGAGUAACACGUGGAUAACCUACCUAUAAGACUGGGAUAACUUCGGGAAACCGGAGCUAAUACCGGAUAAUAUUUUGAACCGCAUGGUUCAAAAGUGAAAGACGGUCUUGCUGUCACUUAUAGAUGGAUCCGCGCUGCAUUAGCUAGUUGGUAAGGUAACGGCUUACCAAGGCAACGAUGCAUAGCCGACCUGAGAGGGUGAUCGGCCAGACUGGAACUGAGACACGGUCCAGACUCCUACGGGAGGCAGCAGUAGGGAAUCUUCCGCAAAGGGCGAAAGCCUGACGGAGCAGCGCCGCGUGAGUGAUGAAGGUCUUCGGAUCGUAAAACUCUGUUAUUAGGGAAGAACAUAUGUGUAAGUAACUGUGCACAUCUUGACGGUACCUAAUCAGAAAGCCACGGCUAACUACGUG